AUCAUAAUAUUUUAUUUUUGCGUUGGUUUCACUUAUGACGUGUGCUCGUGAUUUUGUCCGUAAUUCAAUAAUAAACAAUAAUCUUAGAGACCGUAUCUUUGAUGUAUUUCGAAUACUCGUAUUUUUCAGUUAUUUGUGUACGUGCCUUUUUGAAAUUUUCCCGGAUUGUAGUUUUGGCGCAGAACACUGUACUGAGAUUUAGUGUUUACUUUUGCAAUUAGGUUUAUA